rnacentral:rRNA from 1 species
UACGAAGGGUGCAAGCGUUACUCGGAAUUACUGGGCGUAAAGCGUGCGUAGGUGGUUCGUUAAGUCUGUCGUGAAAGCCCCGGGCUCAACCUGGGAAUGGCGAUGGAUACUGGCGGGCUAGAGUGCGGUAGAGGAGAGUGGAAUUCCCGGUGUAGCAGUGAAAUGCGUAGAGAUCGGGAGGAACAUCAGUUGCGAAGGCGGCUCUCUGGACCAGCACUGACGCUGAGGCGCGAAAGCCAGGGGAGCAAACGGG